GCUGUUCAAGCUGGUGCAUGUCUGCGCGGUCUAUUGCCGGUUCUGCUUCCGCCGCGAAAUGGUGGGACCGGGGAAAGAGACCGCUCUCUCCGAUGAAGUUUAUUCAAAAGCGCUGGAUUAUAUCCGUGCCCAUCCUGAAAUUNNNNNNNACCGGCGGCGAUCCGCUGAUGUUGUCGGCGCGGCGGCUCAAGGAGGUCAUGACCGAUCUCGCUGCCAUCGAUCACAUCAAGAUCAUCCGCAUGCACACCCGCGUUCCGGUCGCCGAUCCGGCAAGGGUGACCGACGAGACAGUUGCUGCGCUGAAAGUGACGGGCGCGACAACAUGGGUGGCGCUGCAUGCCAAUCAUCCGCGGGAACUGACGGCAGAUGCGCGCGCCGCCUGCGCGCGCAUGAUCGACGCCGGCAUUCCGAUGGUCAGUCAGUCGGUGUUGCUGCGCGGUGUGAACGACGAUGCGGCGACGCUGGAGGCGCUGAUGCGCAGCUUCGUCGAAUGCCGCAUCAAGCCAUACUACCUGCA
rnacentral:misc_RNA from 1 species